AGUGAACGCUGGCGGUAGGCCUAACACAUGCAAGUCGAACGGCAGCACAGGAGAGCCUGCUCUCUGGGUGGCGAGUGGCGGACGGGUGAGGAAUACAUCGGAAUCUACUCUGUCGUGAGGGAUAACGUAGGGAAACUUACGCUAAUACCGCAUACGACCUACGGGUGAAAGCAGGGGACCUUCGGGCCUUGCGCGAUUGAAUAAGCCGAUGUCGGAUUAGCUAGUUGGCGGGGUAAAGGCCCACCAAGGCGACGAUCCGUAGCUGGUCUGAGAGGAUGAUCAGCCACACUGGAACUGAGACACGAUCCAGACUCCUACGGGAGGCAGCAGCGGGGAAUAUUGGACAAUGGGCGCAAGCCUGAUCCAGCCAUACCGCGUGGGUGAAGAAGGCCUUCGGGUUGUAAAGCCCUUUUGUUGGGAAAGAAAUCCAGCUGGCUAAUACCCGGUUGGGAUGACGGUACCCAAAGAAUAAGCACCGGCUAACUUCGUGCCAGCCGCCGCCGUAA
rnacentral:rRNA from 1 species